CUCGUUCAGGUGACCGAUUCAUCUCCAUAUCAGCCCCGUCUGAGUGACAAUGGACGACCAAAAACCACCCAGAACACCACCGUUAGGACAUAAAGCAUGGAAGUCCUGCCGGUCAGACUCACUUCAAGUCGCCUCAUAACAUUCAACUGAAGACGAUAACCCAAGGACAACUCGCUGAGGACACAGCGCACUUUAGCGACACCUGCGUGUUCAUGGUAGACUCGUUUCAGACAUAACUCACACAAGGGGACUAAGUGACACAGUGGCGAUGACGUCCAUUCCUCAAAAGAAGUCAGAGCGGGAGCUUCAUCAACUCCUUCAACACGCCGACCUUCUCGAGUACUACGACAAAUUCAUCGAGAUAGGUGAGCCAAACCAGCACUUCGACAGCGUGCUUCGUUGGUUCUG